rnacentral:lncRNA from 1 species
AACUCAGUUCUGGGCGCCCAGAACUUCCAGCCUACACAAACAGUACCUCGGUUCCUCCGUCCGACGGUAAGCUACACCACUAUCCGGUUUCGGCGGAUCUCACCUACCACACCCACGUGUCAACAUAAUCGAUAUUCACGAUGUGAAUUUUCAUAUCCAAUUUUCAGGCGCCCUAAACAGGGUCCAAAAUAGUUGCAACAUCUAAUACAAAACAGCACUCAAGAUCUGGGGGCCCUAAACCCAUUUCUGGGCGCCCUAAACUUGCAAAACUUCAGUUUUGCUUAUUUGAGUGCGUCAAGUCCAUUUCUGCAUCCAUUUCCUGUAAAAACGACUCCGACUCAGUCCGAUACUCUCCAGAUGUGUCGACUAGUCGCUGAUACUGUACUCAUUCCGUCAACUAAACCCUAGGGACACUACACUGGGAAUAACUCAAUUUUCAUCCAAACGCAAAAUUAGUCUAUUCCAGACUAACACCUAAACUUAUAUCUAUCCCUGGAAUAACUAGUUCUUACUUAACCCCAAACCAAACGAAGUUGUACUCUUAGGUAUCGUUUGGUUCGAGGAUAAGAAAAAAGUGGCUAUUCCAGGGAUAUGUAUAAAUUGAGGUAUAAGCGAGGAUUAGAUCAAUUUUGCGUUUGGAUGAAAAUUGGAUUAUUCCUGGAAUAAAAAAAAUAGCGUUUGGUUAGGUAAGAUGGAAUAAGAAAGAUAAUGGGUUUUGUAAAUAAAAAAUAAUGAUAUUAUCCACUUAUUAUAUUUGAAUUUGAAUUUUUAAAUUUUUAAAUUUAUAUUUCUAAAUUUAAAAUUUUAACUUUGAAAUUUAAAAUCUCAAAUUUUAAAUUCAAAAUUUUAAAUUUUAAAUUUCAAACUUUAAAUUUAAGAUCAUAUUUAAAUUUAAAAAAAUAUAAAAUAUCAAAUUUUAAAUUUCAAAAAUUUAAAAUAUCAAAAUUUAAAUUUAAAAUUUAAAAUUUAUAAUUUAAAUUUUAAACUUUAAUUUUGAGAUUAUAAAUUAUAAAUUUUAAAAAUUUAAAUUUUUAAUUUUUAAAAUUUUAAAAUAAGAAUAGUGGUGGGAACCAUUAAUAAAAAUAAUUUAUUAUAAUAAAUUUAUAAAUUUUUUUAAAAUUCUACUUAAAUUUAAAUUUAAUAAAAAGAAUUUUUUAUAAUAUUUAAAUAUAAUUUAUUAUAAAUUUUAUUAUAAUAUUUAAAUAUAAAUAAUAUGUAUUAAUAUAGUACAAUUAAUAAUUUUAUAAUAAAAAUAAUGUAUUAUAAUAUAUAACAUAUUAUAUUUAUAUAAUUUAGUUUAAUUUAAUUUAUAAGUUUAAUUGAGUUUGAAAUUAAGCAUUGGAAUAGCACUGUUCCACCAAAAUGGUAGAAUAGCAAAUCCCUUGCUAUUCCGGGAUAACCGGGAAUAGCAAGGUUUGACCGGGAUAAAAUAUCCCAGCCAAAUUUCAUCCCGUUUGGCGGAAUAGCGGGGAUAACUUUCAUUAUCCCCGCUUAUCCCACGAUCCAAACGGGGCCUUAGGUAGCAUUUGGUUCGGGAACAACGGGGGGAAUAAGCCCUUGUUCCCCCCCUUUCUUUCCAAACGUGAUGUUUGGUACCCGAGAACAGUAGUUCUCGGAAUUCUGGAACAAGCUAGUCUAAGGCUGAAACUGCUGUUCCACCAUUUUCCUGGAACAAGCUUGUUCUUUGAUGAGAACAAGGUUAAUUAAAAUCUAAAUUUAAUUUUAAUAGCAGUAAAUUAUUAAUUAAUCUAAUUAAUAUAUUUAAAUAAUUAUUUAUUGCUUUAAUAAUUAAAUAAUUAAAUAAUUUAUUCUUUAUAAUUAAUUAUUAAUAAUUAAUAAUAAUUAUUAUUAUUUAUUAAUAUUUAUUAAUAAUUAUUAUCCUUAAUAGUUAGAUAAUCGAUAUUAUUAUUAAUUUAUUAUUUAUAAUUAAUUAUUAAUAAUUAUUAAUUAGACAUCGCUAUUACUAUUAAAGUUUAUUAUCUUAUAAAUCAUUAUUCAAUAAGUUAGAUAUAAUAAUUUUAAUUUAUCUACUAAUAAUAUUAUUAAUAAUUAAAAAUAAUUACUUAUUACUUAUUAAUAUUUAUUAAUAAUUAUUAUCCCUAAUAAUUAGAUAAUCGAUAUUAUUAUUACUUUUUUAUUUAUAAUUAAUUAUUAAUAAUUAGAUAAUAAUUAUUAUUAUUAAUUUAUUACUAAUAAUUAAUUAUUAAUAAUAAUUAUUAUUUAUUAAAAAAUAUUAAUAAUUAUUAUUAUUAUUAAUUAGAUAAUCGAUAUUAUUAUUAUUAUUAAUUAGAUAAUCGGUAUUAUUAAUUUAUUAUUUAUAAUUAAUUAUUAAUGAUUAAUUUAUUAUUUAUUUUUAAGUAAUAUUUUGAUGUUAAUUAAUUAUAUAAUAUAAUUUUAAUUUCAAAUUAUAACUUUUAUUCCUCUUGUUCCAAUCUAACCAUCCAAACACUAUUUACUUUAUUCCUAGGAACAACCCAAUUUUGGAAUAGACUAUAAAUUUUAUUGUCUAGAUUACUGAAUUUUAUAGACAAUACCAAACAUAGCAAUGCAAUAAACAUUGCAAUCCAGCAUUACAUUACUGUAUUAAAACAAUCACGCUAAUAUAGCAUCAGUAAUAAUCUCAUUUAGAAUUCCAAGAUACUUGGAUAUAUCGAAAUACUCGGUAAUAUUACAUGACUCGAACCAAACGUAUCCUAAUAGAUAAUUAAGAGAUUAGGCCGAAUCAGUUUAUGAUUGUUAUCCUAAUAUGGCUAAGAUAUAUCUCUAAUUAGCUUUUCAAUUUUAAAGCGAAAUUAAUUCUAGUCCAAUUAGACAAUAUAAUAACCAUCAAAUCGAGCCCGAUCAUAAGCGCACCUGGUUCAGUUUAACCGAAUGCCAACAAUAACUAAAUAACGACGACAAGUAAUGUGGUCGUUUGUAAGGACUGAGAUUUUUGCAGUGUAGCUAAACUCUCAGUUGACGAUGUUUUUGUGUGUAAUUUAAUUACAAAAGCACUCGUCAAGUUUCGGGCGAAAACGAGUUAAAACGGAAAUUCUACGC